UACAGAGGUCUCAAGCGUUGUUCGGAUUCAUUGGGCGUAAAGGGUGUGUAGGCGGCGCGGUAAGUCGGGUGUGAAAUCUCGGAGCUUAACUCCGAAACUGCAUUCGAUACUGCCGUGCUUGAGGACUGGAGAGGAGACUGGAAUUUACGGUGUAGCGGUGAAAUGCGUAGAUAUCUGGAGGAACACCGGUGGCGAAGGCGGCAUCCUGGACCAACACUGACACUGAGGAGCGAAAGCCAGGGGAGCAAACGGG
rnacentral:rRNA from 1 species